AGUGAACGCUGGCGGUAGGCCUAACACAUGCAGGUCAAACGGCAGCACAGGAGAGCUUGCUCUCUGGGUGGCGAGUGGCGGACGGGUGAGGAAUACAUCGGAAUCUACUUUUUCGUGGGGGAUAACGUAGGGAAACUUACGCUAAUACCGCAUACGACCUACGGGUGAAAGCAGGGGACCUUCGGGCCUUGCGCGAUUGAAUGAGCCGAUGUCGGAUUAGCUAGUUGGCGGGGUAAAGGCCCACCAAGGCGACGAUCCGUAGCUGGUCUGAGAGGAUGACAAGCCACACUGGAACUGAGACACGGUCCAGACUCCUACGGGAGGCAGCAGUGGGGAAUAUUGGACAAUGGGCGCAAGCCUGAUCCAGCCAUACCGCGUGGGUGAAGAAGGCCUUCGGGUUGUAAAGCCCUUUUGUUGGGAAAGAAAUCCAGCUGGCUAAUACCCGGUUGGGAUGACGGUACCCAAAGAAUAAGCACCGGCUAACUUCGUGCCAGCCGCCGCCGUAA
rnacentral:rRNA from 1 species